CCACAUCAUGUUGAAACACCGGUUCCCAUAUGAUCCCCAAAGUUAAGCAAUGUUGAGCAUGGUCAGUACCUUGAUGGGUGAUUGCCCGAGAAUACCAGGUAUUGUAAG